rnacentral:rRNA from 1 species
CCUACGAAGUAGGCUUCCGCAAGGACACUCGUAGAGGUGCUGCAUGGCUGUCGUCAGCUCGUGUCGUGAGAUGUUGGGUUAAGUCCCGCAACGAGCGCAACCCUUGUCCUCUGUUGCCAUCAGGUUAAGCUGGGCACUCUGAGGAGACUGCCGGUGAUAAACCGGAGGAAGGUGGGGAUGACGUCAAGUCAGCAUGGCCUUUAUGUCUGGGGCUACACACGUGCUACAAUGGCCGAUACAAACCGUCGCGAUGCCGCAAGGUGGAGCUAAUCGGACAAAGUCGGUCUCAGUUCGGAUUGCAGGCUGCAACUCGCCUGCAUGAAGUUGGAAUCGCUAGUAAUCGCGGAUCAGCACGCCGCGGUGAAUACGUUCCCGGGCCUUGUACACACCGCCCGUCACAUCACGAAAGCUGGCUGUACUAGAAGUCGCCGCGCUAACCCGCAAGGGAGGUAAGCGCCUAAGGUAUGGUUAGUGAUUGGGGUGAAGUCGUAACAAGGUAACCGU